rnacentral:rRNA from 1 species
UCAGUCACGCAGCUAACGCGAUAAGUACCCCGCCUGGGGAGUACGGCCGCAAGGCUAAAACUCAAAGGAAUAGACGGGGACCCGAACAAGCGGUGGAGCAUGUGGUUUAAUUCGAAGAUACGCGAAGAACCUUACCUGGGCUUGACAUCCCGCGAACCCUGCAGAGAUGCGGGGGUGCCUUCUUUGAAGGAGCGCGGUGACAGGUGCUGCACGGCUGUCGUCAGCUCGUGUCGUGAGAUGUUGGGUUAAGUCCCGCAACGAGCGCAACCCUCGUGUUUAGUUGCUAACAGUUCGGCUGAGCACUCUAGACAGACUGCCUCCGCAAGGAGGAGGAAGGUGAGGACGACGUCAAGUCAUCAUGGUCCUUACGGCCAGGGCGACACACGUGCUACAAUGGACAGGACAAUGAGACGCAAUACCGCGAGGUGGAGCAAAUCUAUAAACCUGUUCUCAGUUCGGAUUGUAGUCUGCAACUCGACUACAUGAAGCUGGAAUCACUAGUAAUCGUAGAUCAGCCAUGCUACGGUGAAUACGUUCCCGGGUCUUGUACUCACCGCCCGUCACACCAUGGGAGUUGAGUUCACCCGAAGCGGGGAAGCUAAACUGGCUACCUGCCACGGUGGGCUCAGCGACUGGGGUGAAGUCGUAACAAGGUA